rnacentral:rRNA from 1 species
GCUAGCUACAGGCUUAACACAUGCAAGUCGAGGGGUAGCAGGGUAGCAAUACCGCUGACGACCGGCGCACGGGUGAGUAACACGUAUUCAACCUUCCCAUAACUCGGGGAUAGCCUUUCGAAAGAAAGAUUAAUACCCGAUAGUACUUUUUUAGGGCAUCUUAGAAAAGUUAAAGAUUUAUUGGUUAUGGAUGGGGAUGCGUUCCAUUAGAUAGUUGGUGAGGUAACGGCUCACCAAGUCUUCGAUGGAUAGGGGUUCUGAGAGGAAGGUCCCCCACAUUGGUACUGAGACACGGACCAAACUCCUACGGGAGGCAGCAGUGAGGAAUAUUGGUCAAUGGGCGAGAGCCUGAACCAGCCAAGUAGCGUGAAGGAUGACGG